CCAAUCUGAUUCUCCAAGUUUUGAAUGGAGGCCUGUUGAUUUCUAAGAGUUGCGUCUGUCUAUUGGAAUCUUGUCUCUAAAGUACACACAAACUUUAUCAUCAACUCCUCUAAGCUAGGCCUUUUCUCUUGAGUCUAAGGAGAAUGAGGUGGGAGAACAGAUUGUUGCAGCUGUUGAUGUAGUCGCGGAGACCCUAGUG
rnacentral:lncRNA from 1 species